CUACAUUUGUGGUAAUUUGUCUAGCAGCAAUAGAAAACUAAUAUGUCAUCCGUAUUUUAUUUACCUUGCAGAAUAUGAGGUCAUUCAGAGUUUCCUGUAUCUUUGUCCUAGGUUCUAGCUUUUUGCUGUUGGGUUAUCUCAAAUUAAAUGCAUUUUAACAUGCAGAUGUGAACAAUACCCAGCAGAUGAUAUGGAGUACCAAAGAAACAGAACAGAGAAACGGAGAAAGUAAAAGAACAUGAGAUCACAAAGAAGGCCUGAUUAUGCAAUUAUUACCUAUGGGGGUUAGGGAUAGCUGUACUGCAGCAGAGGCAAUUGGGGCCAAUAUUACACAGUCCUUAAGCUAAAAAUGCCAGAGGUAAGCCUGAGACCCAGUGCCGACUAAUUUAAUUAAGAAGAUCUCUGCUGGAGGGUGUCUGGGAAAGAAUUUUCUUCUUAAAGAGAGAUGGAUGAAGAUAAGACUUUUCCCUCCCUCCCUUCUUGUUGGGUAUGUUUGGUGUGAAGAUAUGCCAUACAGAUCUACUGCACCUAUUUGGGCACCAUGAGGAAGAGGCCAACAAAAUUCUAGAGAAGGCAACCCAGUGCUCUGGCAGUAUUGAGGCUCCAAACCAGCCCUGGAAAGUUCUACAGUGGAACUCCAUCAUAUGUGCAUUAAACUGAAUUGAAAUCAUACGACUCAGCAAAAUCAACAUAACAACUGAUGACAACAAAAACAGCCAUAUAAACAAAAACUGUUGGGCAUUUUAAAAAUACAGAAUGGCUCAAAACUUAAA